rnacentral:sRNA from 1 species
UAAAUAUAUGUAGCUGAACGAAA